rnacentral:lncRNA from 1 species
GGAAUCUGGUUCCUACCUCCCUGAACACCUCGGGCUUGGAGAGCAAUUACUCAGCACUGCAGGCUCUGGUGGAGAAUUAAAGAAAAUACAGUUGUGCCAGCUGGAGGUUGGGAGUUGGGAUUGUCAUCCCUGCAGCCACUUGGGAUGGUUCUCCAGGGAAGAUUCCACACAGAUUCCAACUCCUUGUAACCAAAUCCUGCUGCCCCAGACACCAUCACCUUCCUCAGGACAACAACUGAUGCCUUCACUGCUGAGGGAAAUGUGCAAGCCCUUAUUGCUCCUCAGGAGGUCACUGGGAAUGAUGUUAUCACUCCAUGGGGUCCCAGCACUGGC